rnacentral:lncRNA from 1 species
CCUAGGCAACCCUGUUACAAAACUCAUUAUGAUAUGUUUCCACUUUCAAUCCGGGAUUGGUAAUAGCUGAAGUAGCCUACCUAGGCGUUGAUGUUCUACCUUAACCUAUUGACAUACUACACACUUAAAAACAAAGCUAGCUACCUCUGUUAUAAUGUCCCUUUUCAGUUUACUAUCACCUAGAACACACAUCAUGUCCUGAAAUCUGAACAAUCCAUCGAUAGAGACUCAAAAUUCUAAAUUUACUCCCUAUUCUACAUCUUUCCUGAGAACUACUAGGGUGGAAUCGGUAGAUUGAGCUUCUUUUAUUCUUUUGAUCAAUUCUAGUUAAACAGUC